rnacentral:rRNA from 1 species
GAGUUUGAUCCUGGCUCAGAUUGAACGCUGGCGGCAGGCCUAACACAUGCAAGUCGAGCGGAAACGACGGAGUGCUUGCACUCCGGGCGUCGAGCGGCGGACGGGUGAGUAACGCGUGGGAAUCUACCCUUUGGCGGGGGAUAGCCCGGGGAAACUCGGAUUAAUACCGCAUACGCCCUUUUGGGGAAAGACGGCCUCUGUUGCAUGCUGUCGCCGAAGGAUGAGCCCGCGUCAGAUUAGGUAGUUGGUGGGGUAAAGGCUCACCAAGCCGACGAUCUGUAGCUGGUCUGAGAGGACGACCAGCCACACUGGGACUGAGACACGGCCCAGACUCCUACGGGAGGCAGCAGUGGGGAAUUUUGGACAAUGGGCGAAAGCCUGAUCCAGCCAUGCCGCGUGCAGGAUGAAGGCCUUCGGGUUGUAAACUGCUUUUGUACGGAACGAAAAGGUUUGGCCUAAUAAGCUGAGCUCAUGACGGUACCGUA